rnacentral:rRNA from 1 species
UACAGAGGGGGCAAGCGUUGUUCGGAAUUACUGGGCGUAAAGGGCGCGUAGGUGGCCUUCUAAGUUGAACGUGAAAUCCCUGGGCUCAACCCAGGAACUGCGUCCAAGACUGGGAGGCUUGAAUCCGGGAGAGGGAUGCGGAAUUCCAGGUGUAGCGGUGAAAUGCGUAGAUAUCUGGAGGAACACCGGUGGCGAAGGCGGCAUCCUGGACCGGUAUUGACACUGAGGCGCGAAAGCGUGGGGAGCGAACAGG